rnacentral:rRNA from 1 species
UACGAGGGGGGGCGAGCGUUUGUUCGGAAUUAUUGGGCGUAAAGGGUGCGUAGGCGGUUCCGCAAGUCCUGUGUGAAAUCUUCGGGCUCAACUCGAAGUCUGCACGGGAAACUGCGGGGGCUUGGAGUGUGGGAGAGGUGAGUGGAAUUCCCGGUGAUAGCGGUGAAAUGCGUAGAUAUCGGGAAGGAACACCUGUGGCGAAAGCGGCUCACUGGACCAUACUGA